rnacentral:lncRNA from 1 species
UAGCCCUAAGAAUCCUCCCAGUUGCUUAACAUUCAUUGGUGUAGGCCAUUCUUGCAUGGCAGCAAUUUUGGAAAGGUCUACACAUUCCCCUUCUAUAGUAAUGACAUGCCCCAGAUAUUCUGUCUUAAGUUGUCCAAAUGAGCAUUUACUUCCUUUAGCAUAGAGUUGGUGCUUCUUUAGUAGUUCCAGGACCUCAAAUACAUGUUUACAGUGGACAUCCAAACUAGUGCUAUAAAUCAAUAUGUCAUCAAAGAAAACAAAAACAUACCUCAUAAGUUGUUCCUUGAAGACCUCAUUCAUCAAACACUGGAAAGUAGCAAGGGCAUUGGUGAGCCCAAAGGGCAUCACUCUAAAUUCAUAAAGCCCUUCAUGUGUUUUGAAGGCUGUUUUGUGAAUGUCUUCCUCAGCCACCCUGAUUUGGCGAUACCCUGCCCUUAAAUCUAUCAGUGUAAACCACUUUGCUCUCUUUAAUUCAUCUAAUAACUCAUCAAUCAAAGGCAUGCGAUACUUAUCUUUGAUGGUUAGGCUGUUUAGUUGCCUAUAGUCUACACAAAAUCUCCAAGUUCCAUCUUUUUUCUUGACUAACAAUACAAGGGAGGCAUACGGGCUGUUACUUGGUUGGAUUAUUCCAUUCUCCUUCAUUUCCUUGACCAUCCUUUCAAUUUCUGCCUUCUGUAUAUAAGGACACCUGUAGGGCCUGAGCUUGAAGGUUUAUGUUCCUUCUUUAAUUGGUACAUGGUGGUCAUUGAAUCUAGGCGAAGGUAAGCCCUUCGAUUCUUAAAAAACCAGUGAAAAGUUGUCUAUUAUGGCAUGUACUUCAGCUGGAACACUCUCUGGUUUCCUUUCACUACUAAUGUCAAUUUGUGUUAUCAUACCAUAGGAUUGACUCCUACCCCAGUUCCCUUCUUCCACUUUAGUCAUCAUUUGGAACUCUUCCUUCAUGGCUUCAGUGCUUAGUUCCAAAUCAGUGCCUCCAUGGAUGAAUCUUAUGCUCCCUUUGCAAAAAUCAAAAAGUACAGGAUUGAACUAACUCGGCCAAUCAACCCCAAAUACCAUAUCACUCCUUUCUAAUUUGAGAACCUUAAACUGGUAUUGAAACUCCAGAUUUUGCAUCUUUCAAAUCAAGGAAUUACAUAUUGCAUGGCCAAUCAGUUUUUCUCCACCAGCUAUUAUUACUGAUGCAGGCUUAACUAGUUGCAUCUUAUAGUUGAGAGCUCUGGCUAGCUGUUCAUCAAUAAAACUAUGGGUAUUCCCACUAUCAAUUAGUAUAGAAAUCUUUCUGCCUUUGAUGCUUCCUGGUAGCCUGAUGGUUUUAGUUCUAUUGCUACCUACCAAGGCAUGGAGGGAGAUCUCCAUUACUCCAUCUAUUUCUUCUUUCACUUCGUGUUCCUCUCCAUCAUUCAGUGAUUCCUCAUAGUCCUCCUUACUCUCAUCAUCCACCAGUAUGAAAUUCAACAUCUUAUUUUUACAUACAUGCUCACGUGUAUACUUUUCAUCACAUUUGUAGCAUAGACCUAAUUUCCUUUUGGUCUGAAAAUUUGUAGGAGUGAUUGCUUUAAACUUUAGAGGGAUGCUUGGAUUUUUAUGGUUGGAAUCUGUAUAUAGAGUGGGCUUAUAGGUAGGAUCAUUUGAUUUGGUAAUAGGGUGGUUCCAUUUGGUCCGAGUAAAAGGUCUAUAUGGCUUGGUUCCCUUGCUCAAUGAUGUGAUAGUGUUUUCUUGUAAGAUAGCUUUCUCAAACGCCUUAGCUAGGGUUGUAGGUUUAAUGAUUUUCACCAUGGAUUUGAUCUCCACUUUAAGGCCACUUAUGAAGAUUGAUAUGUAAUAAAACUCUGGUACGUGAGGUAAGGACAACAUCACCUGUGACUUCAAUUCUUUAAAUUGCUCCUGAUAUUCAGUGAUGGCUCCCUUCUAUCUGAGUUUGCUGAGUAACUCAAUCACUUCUUCAGUAUUUCAGCAAACCUUCUACAAAUUUUAAUGAAGAAUGAUCCUUAAUCAGCAUCUGGGUGGCUAGUUAUGAAUCCAUGGUACCAUAUAUCAGCUUUUCCCUUUAGGUAUAUCUCUGCUAUGCUCACCCUCAUCUCCUCGGGUACUUGAUGAGUCUGAAAGUACUUUUUAGCUUUCCUUAACCACUCCCUAGGCCCUUCUCUACUAAAGUAAGGAAAAUCUAUCUUUAGGAUUUUAGUAUUCACCGGUAAUCAAACUUACCACUCCCCUGCGUAGGUAAGUUUCCUAUCCUAGGACUUAAUAACCCACCACUAGACAAAGCUGGACUUUGGUGUUCUUCUAUUUGAAUCCCUUUACCACUCCCUUGAGUUGAGGAAUUUCCUGCACCAGAGUUCAAUGUCCCUUCAAUCAUCUUGGCCAUCAUGCCCACAAUAUUUUCAUAUUUACUAUUCAUUUCCAUCAUCAGACUUUCCAAUUUAUCUUGCCUACUACAGAGAUGUUUCACUUCUUGGUCUGUACUCUAGUAAACCACGCUAAGAACUCCCAGAUCUUUCUCAAUCCUUUUAACUUACUCUUCAUGGGUUUUGUUAUGGGUAUCCAUUUUUCCAGCUCACUUAUUGCUCUAAUAUCAAAUGUAAUGAUUCAACCUUAACAAUUCCUCAAUCUCACUCAGUUCAAUGAUCAAACACAGCAUAUGGAAUAUAAAAUACCCACUGAAUUAAUUGUAAUAAACUGAACAUAAUACAACUGAAAUUAGAUGAAGAAGAAAAUAGGGGAUUGAGAGGAAGAAACUUGGAGAAGAAGAUGAGUAAUCACACAUCCCAACUAUCUGCUCCUUUUUUCCUCCUAGCGCGUGAAAGAAAUGCUAAAACGUGUUUGCAAUUAAAAUUUAAUUCUGGCCCAAAGAACAUCUGGCUCAAAAAGACAUCAUGUUAGCUAUUACUUUUCCCUUCUUUCUUUCUGAUCCUAUGGCUGCGUUUCUUCUUCUAGUUUCAGUUCCACUGCUUCUCCUCCCUCUCUCAUAACACCAUUAUUCCCAUCCCAAAAUCCAAUUUCUUCUAUUUCAAUUAGAUGCAAAACAAAGCCCACAAGUACAAACUCACUCUCCUCUCUAUUUAUAUAUAUACAUACAUUAACACACAAACAAAAGGUAAGGAUCUUUGGGAUGGUCAUCAACGAAAUUUUUUUGGCAAAAUUAAAGCAGCAUAUAAGAGAGGAUCGUAGUAGAGAACGAAAUAGAAAGAGGGAAGAAGAAAGGAUGGGUGGUUGUGUGGUAGAAAUGGAGAAAGAGAAUGGCCAGUAGAGUGGAAAAAUGGAUAAAGAGUAUAGACGGAGUUGCG